CUUGAGAGAUUAUAAUUAUGAUGUUCAUUUUAUGAUUCUUAUGCUAUAUUAUAAACAUUUCCUGUGGGGAAAAAUUUCAAUGCAAAUGUAGAAAUUGAAUUUUCAUGACCGCCAUUUGCUUAGUUUAGGCUUUUAUCAUUUCUUGUUUUGAUUUCUUUAGUAGCCUCCCAACAAUUUCCCUGCCAUUGGUCUUUUUUCCUUUUAAUUUAGCUUCACUGGAUUUUCCAGCAUUAUUGAACUCACUGUGGUUGUCUUUUUAAAUUAUUUAUUUAUUUAGAGACAGAGUCUUGCUCUGUUACCCAGGCUGGAGUGCAGUGGUGCGAUUUUGGCUCACUGCAGCCUCUGCCUUAUAGGUUAAAGAGAUUCUCCUGUCUCAGCCUCCCAAAUAGCUGGGGUUCCAGGCAUCCGCCACCACACCCAGCUAAUUUUUUUGUAUUUUAAGUAGAGAGGGGGUUUCACCAUGUUGGCCAGGCUGGUCUUGAACUCCUGGCCUCAAGUGAUUUGCCCACCUAAGCCUCCUGAGGUACUAGGAUCACGGGCAUGAGCCACUGUGCCCUGCUUUUUUAAAAAAAUAGAGAUAGAGGUCUCACCAUUUUGCCCAGGCUGGUCUCAAACUCCUAGGCUCAAGCGAUCUACCCACCUUGGCCAAGUGCUAGGAUUAUAGGUAUGAGCUACCAUGCCUGGCCCUCACCCUGAUUCUCUAAAGAUAUUAUGUUAACCACAUUUUCUUUAUCCAUUCACAUAUUGAUGGACACACACACAAAGAUAUUAUGUUAUUUCCUGCUUUUCUGCUAAGAUGAUGAUUCUUCUGCAAGGAGCAUCCACUUCCCUAACUAGAAUAAACCUUCCUUUGGAGGCAGAUAGGGUGGUUGGAUUUUUAUUUUAUCUUCCACCCAAAAAAGUAUCUUACUCAGGGAUUACCUAUAGAUAAAGAGCCGUCUAAGGGUUUUCCACCAAAUAUUUCUCUAAACUCUUACCUCUAAUGAAAUAAAAGAAAAAGUUAAUAAUUAUUGCUGUUUAUUCAAAACAUAAUUGAGAAAUCAGAAAUUAUUCAAACAUAGACUGAAGUAAUAGUUAACAAAUUGGUGUAUGGCUUAUAACAAUGGCAAAAAAUAAAAAAAUACAUUAUUUUUCACUUAUCAAGAUGCCUGGAGAUUUGUUUUUUCAUUUAAUACUUGACUAAUCUUGCAAUCUGUUUAAAUUUUUCAAUUUCAUUAUUAUUGAAAUAGCUGAAGGUACCUAUUUUCUAUAUAAUUUAAAUUCCUAAUGCAGCAGUUAUCUUACUCAAGAAAUGUCCCUUUUGGAGACCGGGCACAGUGGCUCACAUCUGUAAUCCCAGCACUUUUGGAGGCUGAGGCAGGCGGAUCACGAGGUCAGGAGGUCAAGACUAUCCUGGCCAACAUAGUGAAACCCCAUCUCUAUAAAAAAAGGAAAUAUCUCCUUUGGAAAAAAAUCCUGUUUGUGGUUUUUUUUGUUUUUUGUUUUUUAAGUAAAAAGAGAGACUGGACGCAGUGGCUCCCACCUCUAAUCCCAGCACUUUGAGAGGCCAAGGUUGGUGGAUUGGUUGAGCUCCCAAGUUUGAGACCAACCUAAGCAACAUGACAAAACCCUGGCUCUACAAAAAAAUACAGAAAUUAGCUGGGCAUGGUGGUGCAUGCCUGUAGUCCCAGCUACUCAGGAGGCUGAGGUGGGAGGAUAGUCUGAGCCCGGAGGACUGGCCUGAACCCAGGAGGCAGAGGUUACAGUGAAUCAAGAUCGCACCAUUGCACUUCAGCCUGAGAUACAGCCAGACCUUGUCUCAAAAAAUAUAUAUCUAAAUGAAAAGAGAAAUAUUUUUGUUUAGUUAGUUUGCAAUCUGUAUUAUUGCCAUAUAUUCAGUAUCUGAUCUUUUAGAAGCCAAUAAAACACAUACGGGUCAUAAAUAAGCAGUGGAUUGGCCAGGUGUGGUAGCUCACUCCUGUAAUCCCAGCACUUUGGGAGGCUGAGGCAGAUGAAUCACUUGAGGUCAGGAGUUUGAGAUCAGCCUGACCAACAUGGGGAAACCCCAUCUCUACUAAAACUACAAAAAUUAGAUGGGCAUGGUGGUUCACGUUUGUAGUCCCAGCUAUUCGGGAGGUUGAAGUAGGAAAAUUGCUUGAACCCAGAAGGUGGAGGUUGUAGUGAGCUGAGACUGUGCCACUGUACUCUGGCCUGGGUAAUAGAACAAAACUCUAUCUAAAAAAAACCCCAAAAAACAAUGGAUUAUAAAUUGACAUAAACCAUUGAUCGCUUGUAUUCUGAAAGAGCCAUGGAUUAUAACCCUUACCAUGGUAUCCAUAUACCAUAACAUAGUUUUUGAAUCAUCAUUGUAAAAUCUUUAUUCCUUUGCAUAAUGCAUUAAAAAGUGGCUCAGAGGCUGGGCGCUGUGGCUUAUGCCUGUAAUCCCAGCAUUUUGGGAGGCUGAGGCGGGCAGAUCACCUGAGGUCGGGAGUUGGAGACCAGCCUGACCAACAUGGGGAAACUCCAUCUCUACUAAAAAUACAAAAUUAGCUGGUGUGGUGGCACAUGCCAGCUAAUUUUGUGGUGGCUAAUCCCAGCUACUCAGGAGGCUGAGGCAGGAGAAUUGCUUGAACCCGGGAGGCUGAGGUUUCAGUGAACUGAGAUCACGCCAUUGCACUCCAAUCUGGGGGACAAGAGUGAAACUCCAUCUCAAACAAACAAACAAAAAGGCUCGGAGCAGAGUAAAGCUUAUCUUUUAGAAACAGAAUUCCAUUUUAUAUAAUAAAUACCCAGUUUAUGUUUAAUAUUAAGGUAAAACUAUCCUUGACUGCCAAGGAAAAGAGGAGGAAAUAAAACAAAUGAUAUUAGCUAUAGUGCAGGUCUGUAAAAAUACAUUGUAGAUUAAAAUACAGUUGAUCUGGGCAUGCUGGCAUACUCCUUUAGUCCCAGCUACUUCAGAGGAGGUGCAAGAGAAUCACUUGAACCCAGGAGAUCAAGGCUGUAGUAUGCUAUGAUUGCAUCUGUGAAUAGCCACUGCACUCCAGCCUGGACAGCACAGUGAAACCCCAUUUUUAAAUUAAAUAAGUAAAAUAUCUUGAUUAUCAAAUAUAAAAUAAAAACAUUCUCUCAGAUUGAGACCUUGCAAAUGAAUAGCAAAAAUUAAUACCUUGACCAGGCGCAGUGUCUCACGCCUGUAAUCUCAGCACUUUGGGAGGCCAAGGCAGGCAGAUCAUGAGGUCAUGAGAUUGAGACCAUCCAGGCCAUCAUGGUGAAACCCCAUCUUUACUAACAAUACAAAAAUUAGGCCGGUGCGGUGGCUCACACCUGUAAUCCCAGCACUUUGGGAGACCAAGGCAGGCAAAUCAUGAGGUCAAAUCAUGACCAGCCUGGCCAACAUGGCGAAGCCCCAUCUCUACUAAAAAUACAAAGAAUUAGCUGGAUGUGGUGGCACACGCCUGUAGUCCCAGCUACUUGGGAGACUGGGGCAGGAGAAUCACUGGAACCUGGGAGGUGGAGGUUGCAGUGAGCCGAGACCUCGUACACUCCAGCCUGGACAACACAGCGAGAUUCUGUCUCAAAAAGUAAUACAUAAAUAAACAAAUUAGCUGGGCAUGGUAGUGUGUGCCUGUAAUCCCAGACACUCGGGAAGCUGAGGCAGGACAGUCGCUUGAACCAGAGCAUCGGAGGUUACAGUAAGCCGAGAUUGCGCCGCUGUACUUCAGCCUGGUGACAGAGCAAGACUCUGAAAAAAAAAAAAAAAAAUUAGCACCUCAGUGUUGUUCAGACUAGCUAAUUAAACAUCACAAUGGAAAAAUCCAUUAAAUAUUACAUUAAUUAAUUAGGUUAUUUUUAUGUUCUUACAUAGGUCAAACUUAUCAAACCAAGAAACUGAAUUUUUUCUCACUUCCCCAAGGACUAUAAAAGAUUUUAAUUAAUUAAACUUUUCAUAUUGAGAAUUCCCUUGGUUUUAAGAAGUUUUUUACUUUACUGUAACUUUUCUAAGUAGUUGCUGAAGAUAGUCUUAUGUGUGGUUUGGUAAUUUUUGUGGUUAAUACAUACUGUGAAAAAAUAUAGGUAUGCAGUACCAUGGCAUAUAUGAUCAGCCAUGUCAAAGCAAGAUAUUGAGUCAUUUGUUAUUUCAUAAUAUGUAUAGUUAAAGGUAAAUUAUAAAAAAAUAUGAUUAAGGCUGGGCGCUGUGGCUCACACCUGUAAUACCAGCACUUUGGGAGGUGAGGCAGGUGGAUCAUGAGGUCAAGUGAUCGAGACCAUCUUGGCCAACAUGGUGAAAUUAUGUCUCUACUAAAAUUAGCUGGGCAUGGUGGCAUGCGCCUGUAGUCCCAGCUACUCAGGAGGCUGAGGCAGGAGAAUCACUUGAACCCGCGACGCGGAGGCUGCAGUGAGCCAAGAUGGCGCCACUGCACUCCAUCCUGGCGACAGAGCAAGAGUUCGUCUCAAAAAAAAAAAAAAUUGGCCCGGCGCCGUGGCUCACGCCUAUAAUCCCAGCACUUUGGGAGGCUGAGGCGGGUGGAUCACGAGGUCAAGAGAUCGAGACUGUCCUAGUCAACAAGGUGAAACACCGUCUCUACUAAAUAUACAAAAUUUAGCUGGGCAUGGUGGCGCGCGCCUAUAUUCCCAGCUACUCGGGAGGCUGAGGCAGGAGAAUUGCUUGAACCCAAGAGGCGGAGAUUGCCGUGAGCCGAGAUCGCGCCAUUGCACUCCAGCCUGGGUAACAACAGCGAAACUCCGUCUCAGAAAAAAAAAAAAAAAAAAAAAUUAAAGACAGUAUUCUUUAAAAACGAAACAAAACAAAACAAAAAACCUGACAUCAGUGAGUUUAUUUUCUUUCUUUCUUUCUUUUUUUUUUUUUUGAGAUGGAGUCUUGCUCUGUCUCGCCCAGGCUGUAGUGCAGCGGCAUGAUAUCAGUUCAUGGCGUCCUCCGCUUCCCUGGGUUCAAGCAAUUCCCCCGCUUCAGCCUCUUGUGUUGCUGGGACUACAGGUGCGUGCCACCAUGCCCAGCUAAUUUUAGUAGAGACAUGUUUUUACCAUGUUGGCCAAGAUGGUCUCCUACCUGGUGAUCUGCCUGCCUUGGCCUCCCAAAGUGCUGGGAUUACAGGCAUGAGCACCAUGCCCGGUCAGUGAGUUAGUUUAUUUUUUUAUUCACUUGUUUUGCACCUUAUUACCGAACGGAUUUCAAGUACAAAUUAAUUUUUUAUAAUGGAAGUAAUAUUUAUAUAUUCAUUAAAAAUUAAGUAUCUACCAUAUGCCAAACACUGUGCUAAAUGCUACUUAUUCGGAGAUAAACAUGUUCCUUUCCUCAAGAAGUUUGUGGUUUAAAGGAAAAGCAAGUACAAUACAAUGUGAUCAUGUUAUUAACUCUAUUAUGUAUGAAGUGAUAUACUGAGCACCUUACAUACUGUUAUUCUCUAUUUUUCAGAUAAGGAAAUUCUUAGAGAUAUUAGGUAACUUGUCCUAGGUCACACAAUAAGUGUGAAAUUCAAAUCAGAAUUUGAACUCAGAUGUGUUUGACUCCAAAGCUUAUUAUCUUGCUGCCUCUGUACAGUAUACUGAUUAGAGUUGGAUACAGCAAUACAGGUUUUAUGGGAACACUAAGACAUGUGAGUCAAAGUAGUCCAUUGGAUUUGGAAGGGGACACUUAAAUUCCAUUUAGAAGACUAAAUAGGAAUUAGCCAAGAGGAAGAGGGAGCUGAAAAGCAUUCCAGCAGAGACAUUACCAUGUGCAAAGGCGUGGAGAUGAGAAAGCAUAGCACAUUUGAUACUUGUGUGGCUUUUAUUUCUCUUAAUAAAGGAGGGUAAACCUGCAAGGAAAACCAGAGAAUGACCUGAAAGUAAUUCAUUCAUUCAUUUAUUCAGUUACUGUUGGGCACUGUAGACUAUAUUGCUAUAUUUCUAGACUGUAUGCUAUAUUUCUAGGAAGAUAGUGGAAUUUUUAAAUUAAGUCACAGACAUGUCACACAUGUUAAACAAGAGCCUUAAAAUCUUAAUUCUGCCCUCUAGUUUGUUUUAUUUUGCUGUUAAAACAGUGUCUUCUAAAUUGUAAAAUUUCUUUCUCCCUCUCUUUUUUUCCCCCUGAUCAUUUCUCUUGUCAUGCUACCUGAUGCCAAGCUGUGUGGAGAUUUUAGAACUGAAGACUGCCUAAACUGUUCCCAUUUCAACUAUGCUUAAAUCCUAUUUGAUUCCUAAAGAUUUGUAAAAGGAUAAGUAUGUUUCUUUGUAUCCUCUAAAAGACCUUAUCUUUUAGAGGAUAAAUGUACCAGAAGUACUAAAACAGAUCCUUUCAAGGAUGUGUCUGGAGAGAUAGAAGCAUACCAAGCUGCUACAUAGUGUACAGGACAACACAAGACUAUGAAUCAACAUAUGAAACUUAGGAGGUAGAGAAUAACUUUCUGACUUUGAAGGGGUGACAUUCAUAGAUACAUUUAUCAUUCAGUGAGAUAAAUUUUUAUUUUUUUCAACCUUAGAAUCUAAAGAGACAGGCUUCAACACUCAUUUCAAAUGCUUUAUCUUACUAGAAGAAUUUCCCUGAGGUCAGCUGGUAGUAUCAUUCCCUCCCAUGAACUACCUCAGUAUUCUAUCUUUUUAUCUUCUUAGAAGACAUUUGGUAAUUCCUUCCUUUUUAUUAUAAGUCAUUUAUAUGCAUGUCUUAACUCCUUUAUUAAAUUGUACCUUCCUUGAAUCAGAAUUCAUGUUUGAUCCACAGCACUAAGCCUUGUACAUAUGAAGCACUGAGUUAAUAUUUAAUGAAUUAAAGCAUAGCAUUUGUAUUACAAACUGAAUUAUUAGAGCAGUUUCUUUUUUUGAGACAGAGUUUUGCUUUUUGACUGGGCUCAGUGGCUCACGCCUGUAAUCCCAGCACUUUAGGAGGCCGAGGCAGGUAGAUCACGAGGUCAAGAGAUCGAGAUUAUCCUGGUCAGCAUGGUAAAACCCCAUCUCUGCUAAAAUACAAAAAUAGAGCAGUGUUUCUUUUAUUUAUUUUGGCUCCCCAUUGAGGAAUUGAACCCCGGUCUCCCUCAUGACAGGUGGGAUACUCACCACUAUACAAACGAGGAGAGCAGUGUUUCUUAAGUGUUGAACAUGAAUUACCUACAUCAGAAUUACCUGGAGUGUUUUGUUAUGCAAAUUCAAAUUCCUGUGCUUGUGCCCACACCUACUAAACGAGAAUUUCUAUGGGUUCAGGGAAUCUGUUUUGAAUAAAAAUUGUAGGUAAUGGGCCCAGUGCGGUGGCUCACACCUGUAAUCCCAGCACUUUGGGUGGCUGAGGUGGGCAGAUCACCUGAGGUCAGGCAUUUGAGACCAGCCUGGCCAACAUGGUGAAACUCCAUUUCUACUAAAAAAUAGAAAAGUUAGCUGGGUGUGGUGGUGCACGUCUGUAAUCCCAGCUACUCAGGAGGCUGAGGCAGGAGAAUUGCUUGAACCUGGGAGGCGAAGGUUGCAGUGCACUGAGAUCUCGCCAUUGCACUGCAGCCUGGUGACAAGAGUGAAACUCCACCCCCCCACCAAAAAGAAAUUGUAGGUAAUUAUGGUGCACACUAAAGUUUGAGAACCACUGCACUGGGGAGAAUGUAAGAAUCCAAAUUUAAGUUACAUUUACAUGAAAGGACAGAUACAUAUCUUGAUAAAAAUUAUAAACAUUUAGGUCACUCCGUCUUGCCCUGCCCCGGCGGGUGAGUGGCUGGGAUCCUCUGCUUGUCGGCACUGUCUUCUGGAACGUUGUUGCGGUCUGCCUGUUGAGGAGGGUGUGUCCUGCGGAGCGAUGGCUGUUGUGUUGCAUGAAUAUCAGUUAUCGCUGAAGCUUCUCUUUGGCUCAUCAGCCACUCAGGCCUUGGACCUAGUUGAUCGACAAUCCAUAACCUUAAUCUCAUCACCCAGUGGAAGGCAUGUUUACCAGAUGGAGUCUUGCUUUGUCACCAGCCUGGAGUGUAGUAACGCAAUCUUGGCUCACUGCAACCUCCGCCUCCCGGGUUCAAGCGAUUCUCCUGCCUCACCUCUCGAGUACCUGGGACUACAGUAGAGAUGGGGUUUCACCAUGUUGACCAGGAUGGUCUGGAUCUCUUGACCUUGUGAUCCGCCUGCCUCAGCCUCCCAAAGUGCUGAGAUUACAGGCGUGAGCCACCGAACCAGAUCUUCCAGCAGUUACAUGGCAGAUAUUUUCAAGCCCUUCCAGUCACCCAUUGCCUUGGCAAUGUCAUCACCAACCUUUUUUGGAGACAGACCCAGGGGACUGAUCUUGGGGGCCAGUGCAGAAGUGGCACCUACUUCCCCCACAGUGCACAUCAGGUAUAUGACUUUGAUCUUGUUGGGGGUCGAACUUCGGUGGCAUGGCGGAGGCAGCUGGUGUCAGAUGAACCCGGAUUUGGGACAACUGAAGAAAGUUGCACCUUGGCCUCCUCCAAGCUGAAAGCCAAAAGCAGGAAUCUUUAAUAAGAUUAUAGGGCUGGUGCAGUGGUUUAUGCCUGUAAUCCCAACACCUUGUAGGUUGAAGCAGGAUGAUUGCUUGACCCCUGGAGUUUGAGACCAGCCUGGGUAACAUAGCAAGAUGCUGACUUUACAAAAAAAAAAUUAGCCAGGCACAUUAGUACCUGCCUGUAGUCCUAGCUAUUUGGCAGGCUGAGGCAGGAGGAUCCCGUAAGCCCAGAACUUGGAGGCUGCAGUGAACAAUGAUUACACCAUUGAACCUCAGCUUGGGUGACAGAGUGAGACCCUGUCCCCCACCUCAAAUAAAUCAUAGGUAUGCCCAGACAUGUUGCUCUUAAUAACAUAAUUAAGCUGGGCUUGGUGGCUCUCGUCUAUAAUCCCAGCACUUUGGGAGGCCAAGGCAGGUGGAUCACAGGUCAGGAGUUUGAGACCAGUCUGGCCAACAUGGUGAAACCCUGUCUCUACUAAAAAUACAAAAAUUAGCCAGGCGUGGUGGCAGGUACCUGUAAUCCCAGCUACAUGGGAUGUUGAGGCAGGAGAAUCGCUUGAAUCCAGGAGGCAGAGGUUGCAGUGAGCCGAGAUUGAACCACGGCACUCUAGCCUGGUGACAGAGUGAGACUUGGUCUCAAAAAGAAAAAAAAAAAGCAUAGUUAAGAUAUUUUUAUCUUUCAAUGCAAAUUUGUAAUCUGGUAAAUUGAAAAGCAGUAUGAACAUUGAAUUAUCUGUGGAACUCAAAGGAAAAAGAUCACUGUAAUUUCAUAUUUUACAUGAGAAAAGAUUUCUUGAAUUUUUUUGCUUUGAUCUAUAUUUUGUCAUUUCAUUGAGAGUAGAAAAAGAAUGAAUCGCUUUUUUAAAAAUUUAUUUUUAUUUUUAUUCAUUUUUUUUUUUGAGACGAAGUUUCACUCUUGUUGCCCAGGCUGGAGUGCAAUGGCGCGAUCUCAGCUCACUGCAACCUCUACCUCCUGGGUUCAGGCAGUUUUCCUGCCUCAGCCUACUGAGCAGCUGGGAUUACAGGCACGUGCCACCAUGCCCAGCUAAUUUUUUGUAUUUUUAGUAGAGACGGGGUUUCACCAUGUUGACCAGGAUGGUCUCGAUCUCUUGACCUCGUGAUCCACCUGCCUCAGCCUCCCAAAGUGCUGGGAUUACAGGCUUGAGCCAUGGCACCCAGCCAUGAAUCGCUUUUUAUAAACAAUAUUUUUCUUUUCUAAAUUUGACACUAGUAUGAAACUUACCCAAGUUGUUUAAAUUUGUUUGUUUUUUGAGAUGGAGUCACCCAGCUCUGUCACCCAGGCUGGAGUGCAGUGGCAUGUUCUCGGCUCACUGCAACCUCCACCUCCCAAGUUCAAGCAAUUAUCCUGCCUCAGCCUCCUGAGUAGCUCAGACUACAGGUGCAUUCUACCACACCCGGCUACUUUUUUUUUGUAUUUUUUAGUAGAGAUGGGGUUUCACUGUGUUAGCCAGGAUGAUCUUGAUUCCUGACCUCGUGAUCCACCCAUCUCAGCCUCCCAGAGUGCUGAGAUUACAGUCACAAGCUACCACACCCUGCCAGUGUUUAGGAUUUAAAAAUAUAAACUGAGGAUUUGAUUUUUUUUGUCUUAUUUUUUUUUAAGGGAGGGGGUUGUUGCUUUGAGGGGAGUUAUGCUUUUUUUGUUUUGUUUUUUUUGUUUUUUUCCUUUUUGUGGAGAAUGGGGUCUCGCUAUAUUGCCCAGGCAGGUCUCGAACUUCUGGGCUCAAGCUGUCCUCUCACCUGUGCCUCUCUAAGAGCUGAGAUUACAGGCAUGAGCCACAGCGCCCGGCUGUUUUUGUUUUUUUUGAGAUGGAGUCUCGCUCUGUAGCCAGGCUGGAGUGCAGUGGCAGUAUCUCGGCUCACUGCAGCCUCCACUUUCUGGGUUCAAGUGAUUCUUCUUCAGCCUUUUGAGUAGCUGGGACUACAGGUGCACAUCAUCAUGCCCAGCUAAGUUUUGUAUUUUUAGUAGAGACAGGGUUUCGCCAUGUUGGUCAGGCUGGUCUCGAACCCCUGUCCUCUGGUGAUCUGCCCGCCUUGGCUUCCCCAAAGCGUUGGGAUUACAGGCAUCAGACACCUCAGCCGGACAUUUUUUUUGAGAUGGAGGCUCAGUCUGUUGCCCAGGCUGGAGUGCAGAUCUUGGCUCACUGCAACCUCUACCUCUUAGGUUUAAGCAAUUUUUGUGCCUCAACCUCCCAAGUAGCUGGGACUACAGGCACAAGCCACCAUGCCUUGCUAAUUUUUAUUUUUAUUUUUGUAGAGAUUGGGUUUCACCAUGUUGUCCAAGCUGAUCUCAAACUUCUGGGCUCAAGCAAUCUGCCUGCCUCAGCUUCCUAGAGUUGAAAUUACAGCUCUGAUUCUCAGGCUGAGAUUACAGGUCUGAGCCACAGCGCCUGGCCAUAAUUUAUGUUUUAAAUAGCAUUUUGUUCUGAUUAGAUAGAAGCCACAUACUCAUUAUUAGAGUUUUUGAAACUAUGGGGAAAAAGAACAAAAAUUACUUGUAUUUUGCCACUCUAAAUAGCCAUUGUUUAGGAAUAGUUUUCUCUUUUUUUUUCUAUGCAAAUAUAACUAAAUUGAGAUGAUACAUAUAUGUACUUAUAGUAUUAUGCCCUGCUUUUUCCCUUUAACACUUUAAAAUAAGCACUUUUGUAAAUCAUUAGACGUUUCUUGAAAACAUAAUGUCGAAAUGUUGUUAGUGUGAUUUUGCUCAAAAUUCACAGUAGGAGGUAUAUUUUAUUUUGUGAUUAAGGCCACACAUACAUAUUUAAUUGUAUCAAAACAUAAAUUGUAAAACAGUAUUAAGGGUAAUGCAUUUUGAUUUUUUUUGAGUCAAAGUUUCACUCUUGUUGCCCAAGCUGGAGUGCAAUGGCGCAAUCUCAGCUCGCUGCAACCUCUGCCUCCUGGGUUUAAGUAAUUCUCCUGUCUCAGCCUCCUGAGUAGCUGGGAUUAUAGAUGUGUGACACCAUGCCUGGUUAAUUUUUUUGUAUUUUUAGUAGAAAUGGGGUUUCACCAUGUUUGCCAGGCUGGUCUCAAACUCCUGACCUCAGGCGAUCCACCCGCCUCAGCUUCCCAGAGUGCUGGGAUUAUAGGUGUGAGGCACCAUGCCCGACCUGCAUUCUGAUAUUAUCUGUUGUAUUUUAUUUUUAAAAAUAUGCUUGUUUCAUCCCUUUGAAUUGAUUUUGCAUUUCACUAAUGGGUUGCAGCCUGCAGUUGGAAAAAUGUCUCCUGUAUAAAUAUUCUGUAAUCCAAUUAUGACCCUUUUAUUGGACAAAUUUGGUUCAGAAUUUUGCCAGUAGAUGAAUUUAAAAGUGUUUGUGAGUGUAUUUACCAAAGUAAUUAAGGCUGGCUGUAAUAAAUUAUUGCUAAAGUGUUAAUACAUAAGUCUUCUGGCCAGGUGUGGUGGCUCAUGCCUGUAAUCCCAGAACUUUGGGAGGCUGAGGUGGGUGGAUCACGAGGUCAAGAGAUCGAGACCAUCCUGGCCAACAUGGUGAAACCCCAACUCUACUAAAACAAUGCAAACAUUAACUGGGCAUGGUGGCGCAUGCCUGUAGUCCCAGCUACUCGGGAGGCUGAGGCAGGAGAAUUGCUUGAACCUGGGAGACAGAGGUUGCAGUGAGCCGAGAUUGCGCCACUGCACUCCAGCCUGGCGCCUGGCGACAGAAAAAAAAAAAAUAAUAAUAAUAAAUAAAUAAUAAGUCUUCCUUAUCAGUUUGUUAUAUACUUUUUACAGAUUUUUGUAUGUGUUCACUUACUCUCUAUGUCAAUAUCUAUUUUUACACACUUUUUCCACUUUGAGGCAGAAGAACUGCUUUACUACACCUUUAAAUUUUUUUAAAGUAUAUCAUGACUAUCUUUUCACAUCAACAUAUAGUUACCUUGUUCUUUUGCCUGCUGCAUAGUACUCCAUUACAGAUGGAUCAAAAUUUAACUUUUUCAUUAUUAAUGAAGAUUGUGUUGCUUCCAAUUUUUUGUAUUACAAAGAAUGCUUCAGUGGCCAUUCAUAUAUAUAGACCUUUGUGCAUACCUGCAUAUGUUUUUGUAGAAUAAAGUUUCCUAGAAUUGAGGUUGUUGAAAUAUAGGGUAUACACGCUUAAAAUUUUUUUUUAAAUCUUCAACCUAUUCUUCACAACAUUUAUAUCAGUCAACUCUUAACUCCAAUAGUAUAUAUAAGAAAGAGGCUGGACGUUAUGGCUCACACCUGUAAUCCCAGCACUUUGGGAGGCCAAGGCAGGUAGAUUCCUUGAGCCCAGGAAUUAGAGACCAGCCUGAACAACAUGGUGAAACCCUAUUUCCACAAAAAUUAGCCAGGUAUGGUGGCACACAGCUGUGGUCCUAGCUACUCAGGAGGCUGAGGUGGGAGGAUCACCUGAGCCGGGGAAGUCGAGCAGUAGAUAUUUUCUAUUUUAAUUUUUGCCAAUCUGAUGAGUGAAAAAAAUGCGUUUGAUUUUAAUGUAUUGGUUUGGCAUCUUUUCACAUGCUUAUUGGUGUUUUAUAGUUCUGUGAAUUGCUUGUUUAUAUCUUUUAUGAACUUUUGUAUUUUUAUUAUUGAUUUAUAGGAAAUCUUUAUAUAGUAUGGAUGUUAGCCACUUGAGUAUUAUGUGUUACAAAUGGCUUCUCAUAGUCUAUAAAAUGUCUUAAAACUACAAGAGAAUCUUUUUCUAUAUAGAAAUUAAAAUUUUUGUACUUGGUCACAUUGGUUAAUUUUUUUCUUUAUGGCUUCUGGGAUUUGUGUAAUGUUUAAAGGGUCUAACGGACCUUGUCCACCUACUGUCUUCUGUGUUCCUCUGGAUAUUUAUAGCUUUUUAUGUUUAUUGGAAAUUUUUGUAUUGGAUACCACCACAUAUAAAUAGUUCUUUUUUAAAAAAUUUUUUAUUAUUAUUUUUAAGACAGGGUUUCACCAUAUUGGUCAGGCUGGUCUUGAACUCCAAACCUCAGGUGAUCUACCCGCCUUGGCCUCCAAAGUGCUUGGAUUACAGGCGUGAGCCACCACACCCGGCCCAUAUAAAUAGUUCAAAUUGAUAUAUCUAAUUAUUACUUCUGAUAAGUAAAUAAUUCUUUUAAUUAGGAAGAUUGGCAAGUUUGUGAAAGGAGUUCUAAUUUUGUUAAAAUGCCUAAAUUGAAAACUGGGAAUCUAUAAUGGUAAAUAUAGUUGGUCAAGCCAUGAAUAUAAGAUUUAUAAAUGGUUGGUAUAAUGGUAGAUCUUUUUUGGGUAGGAAAAUGCUUAAACAAAAGUACAGAUUUCUUUUUUUUUUUUUUUUUUGAAACAGAGUCUUACUCUGUCACCCAGACUAGAAGGCAGUGUUGUGAUCUCAGCUCACUGCAACCUUCACCUCCUCGGUUCAAGAGAUUCUCCUGCCUCAGCCUUCAAAGUAGUUGGGAUUACAGGUGUCUGCUACCAUACCCGGUGAAUUUUUGUAUUUUUAGUAAAGAUGGGAUUUUGCUAUGUUGGCCAGGCUGGUCUCAAACUCCUAACCUCAGAUAAUCCACCUGCCUUGGCAUCCCAAAGUGCUGGCCUCCCAAAGUGUUGGGCCACCUCACCUGGCUCAAAAGUGCACAUUUCUAAGCAAUCUCUAGAGCCAACCAAAUUCUUUGGGUGUUUCACAAAUUCUUGCCUUGGUGACAUUUUCUGUCUUAGAAUGUAAGGAAAGAAAUAUAUUUGUAUAAGAAAUCUGGAGGGAUAUACACCAAAUUAUUAACAAUGAUUUUCUUGGGGCCUGAUGUGGCUGACACCUGUAAUCUCAGCACUUUGGAAGGUUUAGGCAGGUGGUACAACUGAUAUUAGGAGUUUGAGACCAGCCUGGCCAACAUAGUGAAACUCUGUCUCUACUAAAAAUACAAAAAUUAGCCGGGUGUGGUGGCGUGCACCUGAAUCCCAGGUACUGGGGAGUCUGAGGCAGGAGAAUCACUUGAACCUGGGAAGUGGAGGUUACAGUGAGCUGAGAUCACACCUCUGCACUCCAUCCUGGGCAACAGCAAGACUCUGUCUCAAAAAACAAACAAACAAACAAAAAAAAACCUAAUUAAAAAAAACAGUGAUUUUCUUGGGAUGGUAAGAUUUCAGAAUUUUUUUCUUUUUUUUAAUUUAAGACAGAGUUUCACUCUUAUUGCCGAGGCUGGAGUACAAUGGUGUGAUCUAGGCUCAUUGCAACCUCCACCUCCCAGGUUCAAGUGAUUCUCCUGCCUCAGCCUCCCAAGUAGCUGGGAUUACAGGUGCAUGCCACUACGCCUGGCUAAUUUUGUAUUUUUGCUAGAAGUCUUGAACUCCCGACCUCAGGUGAUCUGUCUGCUCAGCCUCCCAAAAUGCUGGGAUUACAGGUGUGAGCCAGUGCACCUGGCAGAUUUCAGAUUUUUUUUUUAAAGCCUUUUAACUUAUUUUUUAAGUUUCUUUUUAUUUUUAUCUUUUUAUCUUUUUUUUCUCUUAUUUUUCUAAGUUUUUUUCCCAACAAAAAAUGUUAUUUGUUUAGUGAAUAUAGGACACAUAAAGGAUUAAGUGAUGGAUACUGCUGCUUUGGAUCUAUUUAUAGCCAAUGAGGAAGAAUUGGUGGGUAGGAACGAUAGAAACCUCUGGAGACAAAGUGACCGUUUUAUAAAAGUUUGUGAUAGCUAGGAUGAGAAUUCUGGAAGUAGCAACAUACGUAUAUUGUCUAGAUAUGGUAGGAAGAAGGCUUUAAAAGAAUUGAACAAAAAAUAAGUAGUCAUGACCUCAUGAGCUAAGACUGGGAAAGUUGGGAAACAUUAAAACGUAAUUAUAUAAUUACAAAGUUAUAAAUUAUAGCAAUGAGUUUUUUUUAUAAAAGGCAAAUGUUACAUGCAGAGCAGGCCAGGAGUUACAAAAAGAAAAAACAAAGAAAAGGCAAAUGCAACUGAAGCUACUGUGACUCCAGUUGCAACAGUGUUAACUCAGGUGUUUUUCUUUUUUGGAGACGGAGUCUCUGUGUCACCCAAGCUGGAGUGCAGUGGUGCGAUCUUGGCUCACUGCAACCUCUGCCUCCUGGGUUCAAGUGAUUCUCCUGCCUUAGCCUCCUGAGAUUACAAGCAUGAGCCACUGCAGCUGGCCUUAACUCAGGUUUUACGAAGGAUAUAUAUAAAAGAUGAAUAUAGAAAAGUGACAAACAUAUAAGUGUGCCAGAAAAGUUAAAAUUCAGAAUUAACAGAUGUGAGGAAUAUAUUAAAGAUAAUUUUAAAUAUUUUACAAUUCAGAAACUAGAAUAAGGAAAAUAUAUGCCUAUUUAAUAUUAACUGCUCCUAUUUUGUUUCCACAUUUUCCAUCAAGGAGGAUAAUCUUUAUUCUGUAAAAACAACAAAUCAGUAAAGUAGAACUAAAGUCCAAUAUUCUUUCAUUGAAAUUAAGAAAGCAUCUUAACUACUCAAUAUGACUUUGUUUCCUAACCUGAACUAAUUAUAUAUCUGAGAUUGCUCUGAACUUAUAGGUAAGAAAGUUGAAUUUUGGGGAAUUGUUGAGAAUAGAAAAAUGCCAGAGGAUUGGAGGUAAACAAUGAGUAAGGACUUUGACAGCAUGUUGAUUACAUUCAGAAAUGACAAAGCUUGCUGGACCUUUAUGCAAACAGUAAAAAUAAUUUGAAAGUCUUGUAGCAAGAAGGAAUUAACGGAUUGGUUUAAAUAAGUAUAACUAAAUAUAUAAUCCUGCAUUUGGGUUGGAAAAAAAACAGUUGAAGAAUUGAUAAAGGAUAAAUAGCAUAAUAAAAGCAUUUAUUACAAAGGGAAUUUUAUUGUUGAUAAACUUAAUUAUGAAUCAGCCACAUGAUUUGCCUGCCAAAAUUCAGUUAUUAUAGUUUUCUAAACAAGGGAGAUUGGUUAGGCUUGGACCUGGCAUGUAUCCAGAUUUAGGUGUACUACGUUUGAGAAAAAUUGGCAUAUGUUCAAAUGGUAGCAGUAUUAGCUCUUUCUUGCGUGGCAAAAGAAUUAGAUAUAAUCUAGCCAUAAUGCAGCUCUGGGACCAAUGAUUACAGGAAGACUUAAGCGCAAUAGAAGGAAGAAUUUUCUAGUGAUGAGAACUGUCUAGACAAUAACAGGAUGCUUUGAGAGGCAGUAGUAUAUAUGUAUAGUGGUUUUCUUUUUUUUGUUUGUUUUUUGAGACAGAGUCCCGCUGUCACCCAGGCUGGAGUACAAUGGUGUGAUCUUGGCUCAGUGCCACCUCCAACUCCCAGGUUCAAGCAGUUCUCUUGUCUCAGCCUCCCUUGUAAUUGGGAUUACAGGCAACCACCACCAUGCCCAGCUAGUUUUUUUGUAUUGUUAGUAGAGACAGGGUUUUGCCGUGUUGGCCAGGCUGAUCUCGAACUCCUGACCUCAGGUGAUCCACUCGCCUCGGCCUCCCAAAGUGUUGGGAUUACAGGUGUGAGCCACCGCACCUGGCCUGUUUUUUUUUUUUUUAGCGACAGGAUCUCACUGUUACCCAGGCUGGAGUACAGUGGUGUGAUCUCAGCUCACUGCAACAUCUGCCUCCCAGGUUGAAGCAAUUCUCUUACCUUAGCCUCCCAAGUAGCUGGGAUUAUAGGCCAGUACCGCCACACCCAGCUAAUUUUUUGUAUUUUUAGUAGAGAUGGGGUUUCACAGUGUUGGCCAGGCUGGUCUCGAACUCCUAACCUCAAGUGAUCUGCCUGCUGAGGCCUCCCAAAGUGCUGGGAUUAAAGGCAUGAGCCUCCGCUUCCGGUCCUUGUAUACUGUUGGAAGGAGGCUAGUUAAAUUUUUUGUAAGAAUGUUAUAGAGGGAAUUAAAGUUCAAAUGUCUUGAAUAUAUACAUUGGUUUGGCUUUACAUUUUUUCAUAUGGUUACUGGCCAUUUUUAUAUCUUCUUUGGAGAAAUAUUUAUUCAAAUCCUUUACCCUUUUAUUUAUUUUUUUGAGAUGGAGUCUUGCUCUGUUGCCAGGCUAGAGUGCAGUGGUACGAUCUCGGAUCACUGCAAUCUUCGCCUCCCAGAUUCAAGCGAUUCUCCUGCCUCAGCCUCCCGAGUAGCUGGGAUUACAGGUGUGUGCCACCACACCCAGCUAAUUUUUGUAUUUUUAGUAGAGACGGGGUUUCACCAUGUUGGCCAGGAUGGUCUUAAUCUCCUGACCUUGUGAUCUGCCUGCCUCAGCCUCCCAAGGUGCUGGGGUUAGAGGUGUGAGCCACAGUGCCCAGCCAUACCCAUUUUUUAAUUGGGUUAUUUAUCUUUUAUUAUUUGAGUUGUAACAGUUAUCUAUAUAUUCUGGACAGAAGUCCUUUAUCAUAUAUGCUUAGCAAAUAGUUUCUCCCAUUCUGUGAGUUUGUCACUUUCUCUAUGGUAACAUUUGCAACACAAAGAUUUUUAAUUUGGAUGGAGUCCAGUUUAUUUUUUCUUUUGUACUUGUACUUUGGUGUUGGCUAAUCCAAGGUCAUGAAGAUUUACUAUGUUUUCUCCUAAAAGUUUUAUAGUUUUAGCUUUUCAUUUAUGUAUAAAAUUUAUUUUGAGUUAAUUUAUUUAUAUGGGGGAGUUGGGGUCCAACUUUAUUCUUUUGUGAGUGAACAUCUAGUUAUCCUAGCAUCAUAUGUUGUAAAAACUGUUCUUUCCCCUAUUGAAUUGUUCUGGCAAUGUUUUUUUUAAGACGGGGUUUCUCCAUGUUGGUCAGGCUGGUCUUGAACUCCUGACCUCAGAUGAUCCACCCACCAUGGCCUCGCAACGUGCUGGGAUUACAGGCAUGAGCCACCAGGCCUGGCCCUUUUUUGGUGGUGGUGGUUCUGGCAAUUUUUAAAAGGAUAGUGUGAUUUAAGGCCAGGCUCAUUGGCUUAUGCCUGUAAUCCCCGCACUGAGGCAGGUGGAUCAUGAUGUCAAGAGAUCAAGACCAUCCUGGCUAUCACGAUGAAACACCAUCUCUACUAAAAGUACAAAAAAUUAGCUGGAUGUGGUGGCACAUGCCUGUAGUCCCAGCUACUCUGGAGGCUGGGGGCAGGAGAAUCAGUGGAACCCAGGAGGCGGAGGUUGCAGUGAGUCGACAUCAUGCCACUGCACUUUAGCCUGGGCAACAGAGCAAGAGUCCGUCUCAAAAAAAAAAAAAUAGUAUAACAUUUACUUAUUUACUUACUUCCUUGCAGUGUCUUCCUCUGUUGCCCAGGCUAGAGUAUAGUGGUAUAAUCAUAGUUCACUGCAAUCUCCAACCCCCAGGUUCGAUCCUCCUGACUCAGCCUUCUAGAGUAGCUAGAUGUACCACACCUGGAUAAUUUAAAAAAAAAAAAAAAAAAAAGGCCAGGCAUGGUGGCUCACGCCUGUAAUCCCAGCACUUUGGGAGGCCAAGGUGGGUGGAUCACGAGGCCAAGAGAUCAAGACCAUCCUGGUCAACAUGGCGAAACCCUGUCUCUACUAAAAGUACAAAAAAUUAGCUGGGCAUGGUGGCACAUGCCUGUAAUCCCAGCUGCUCAGGAGGCUGAGGCAGGAGAAUUGCCUGAACCCGGGAGGCGGAGGUUGCGGUGCGCUAAGAUCGCGCCAUUGCACUCCAGCCUGGGUAACGAGCGAAACUCCGUCUCGAAAUAUAUAUAUAUAUAUAUUUUUUUUUUUUUGUAGAAUCAUGAUCUCCUUUUGUUGACCAUGCUGGUCUUGAACUCCUGGUCUGUAGUUAUUUUCCUGCCUCAGCCUCCCAAAGUGCUGGUAUUACAGGUGUGAGGCACCUUGCCCAGCCAUAACUUUUACUUUUUAUAAAAAUCCAAUAAAAACUAUGGAAGAUGGGAGAGAAAGUAUAGUACCCCCCGAUCUUAGGGGGAUGUGUUCUAAGAAUCCUAGUGGAUGCCUGAACUGUAGAUGGUACCAGACCCAGUUGCUGAUUGCAUGGAUUAAAACACAUUUUAGCUCAUGUUUUCCACUCAAAUUUAUACUGCCUUUUUCAUCUUAUCUAAGUACUUAUACACUGUGGCUAUAACAUUUGCAGUUUGAGAUGUGACAGCAAAACUAACACAGAUCUUUUUUACCUUGAAUUUCACUGUCAGGGCAAGGAUUCAUUCUUUCCAUAGAUCUCAGCAACCUCAGCAUAUUAUUUUUUUCUUUCUUGAAAUCAAGAACUUUUACCUUUUCACUUUAAAGGAAGUACUUUAUGGCUUCUAUUUAGCAUAUUCAAAUUGCCAGCAUCACUACUUUUGCAAUUUGGGGCCAUUAUUAAGUAAAAUAAGAGUUAUUUGAACACAGACACUGCUAUAAUGCUAUCUGACAGUUGAUCUGAUAGCCAGCUUGGCUGCUAAAUUACUACAAAGCUGGUAGCAUGCACAGCAUAGAUACACUGGACAAAGGGAUGAUUCAUGUCUCAGGCAGGACAGAGUGGGAUGAUGCAAGAUUUCAUUGGGCUACUCAGAAUGGUGUGCAAUGUAAAACUUAUGAUUCGUUUAUUUCUAGAAUUUUCCAUUAAAUAUUUUGGACUAUCGUUGACCAUGGGUAACUAAAACUCAAAAAGUAAAACCAUGAAUAAAGGGAAACUACUGUAAAGCAUAAUUCUGCUACCCUUACACAACUUCCAUAUUAUUGUUUUUGUUGUUGCCUAAUGUUCCAUCUGCAGGUUAUACAUAACUUAAUAAAUUUGUCCCUUAUUUAUUUGAAUUUAAUAUUAAAUGUAACACUGAAAUCAUAAUCUUUGUUCAUAAGCUAUUACCUUUCUAUUGCAUAAUUUUCUUUUAUACAUUUCUGAAAGGAUUUCUUCUAAAUUUACAUUGAAAACCACUAGUUAUAUAAUUUUGAUUUUGAAAAUUCUGAAAUAGGGGGUGUUAAAUACAUUGGCCAGUUUAACAUUACAAUAGCAGCUGAUACUGACCUCUGGCUAUGGGUCAGGCAAUAUGCCAAAUAGUUGUGUGCAUAAUCAUAUUUAGUUCAGAUUCUAUUAGAUAAGGAAUUCAAGGCUCAGAAAAGUUUGAUAACUUGCCCAAAGUCAUAAAACUAGUAAAUGGCAAAGAUGGCAUACAGGGCUGUGUAACUCCCAUACCUCACUGGCUCCCAUACUGGACAUAAACAGUUAUGAUGGCAAGAUUCCCACAGUAAUAGAUUAGAUUAGAUUAAAUAUUUUUUAAAUAAUUAAAUUUUAAAUUAAAUAUUGAAUUCACAUGAUUUAAGUACUAAUAUUGGCAUUAGUACUUAAUGCCAAUAUUAGUACUUACUUACGGGCAUUAUUGGCCCAAAUUUUUCUUGUUUUUCUUUUCUUUUUCUUUUUUUAAAUAAACCCACAGCCAACAUUGUAGGCGCAAUAUUUGUUUUGUAAAAAUGGAAAUCUAAAAACUGAUUCUUCUCUGGAGAUUUAAUAAUUUGUUAUUCUUGGGCCCCAUGGACUAAUCAUCUUGUAUUAUUCCCAUGUGUAUAGCACUUACCACUCCAAAGAGUCUAGAGAGGAUAUGUAGCCAAUACAGAAGUUAUUUCACUUAUGAGUACUUUAGUAAAGAAAUGGAAAAUGAAUUAGGAGUCUUUAACAUCGACAUGUAAAUCUAAAUUUCUUGAUGUCUUAAAAAUAUAAAGGUUAGUAUUUUGGAAAGAAUAUACACAAUAGUAGCAUUUCUGAUCCAGACAUCUAGGUCCUAUGAAUGUAUAUUCAGUUAAUAAUGGUCACCACUUAGUAGUUAUUUCAAUUGUAUAAUUAAUAAAUGUGUUUAGUAUUUAAAAUAAUUAUCUUUUUAAAAUUUUAAUUAAAAAAAAAAAUAGAGAUGGGGGGAGUCUCACCAUGUUGAUCAGGCUGGUCUCGAACUCCUGGCCUCAAGUGAUCCUCCCUUCUUGGCUUCCAAGUGCUGGGAUUACAAGUGUGAGCCACCAUGCUUAGCCUGAAAUAAUUAUCUAUAACUCAUAAUUAUUGCUAUAGCCUGAAAUAUAAAGAGAAAAAUCACAAUUAUAAAAUGAUGCUUAAAAAGAAAUGGUAAUUUUGAAAUGUAAUGGCCUAGAAAAAAAUGGUUUUGGCCAUGUUCACAGUUUUCUUUAAAACAUGAAAAUGCCAGUUCUACACAAAUUCUUGUUCUAGGUUUCUAUUUUUGCAGUCUUUCAGCACAUCAAACUGUAUAAACUUUUUUUUUCUUUGAGACAGAGUCUUACUCUGUUGUCCAGGCUAGAGUGCGGUAGCAUAGUCUCAGCUCACUGCAACCUCUGCCUCCUGGGUUCAAGCAAUUCUCUUGCCUCAGCUUCCCAAGUAGCUGGAUUACAGGCACUUGCCACUAUGGCCAGCUAAUUUUUGUACGUUUAGUAGAGAUGGGGUUUCACCAUGUUGACCAGGCUAGUCUCAAACUCCUGACCUCAAGUGAUUUACCCACCUCGGCCUCCCAAAGUGCUGGGCCUGUAUAAACUCUUUUCUGUGCUUGAUUUUCACCCAAAGAGUUAGAGUUUAUACAGAUUAACAAGGUGACUGGAGGUAUUUGUAUGUCCUACACAGAAGAGUCACUUCAGUUUGCUAGAACAGUACUCUUUCACUAUGGGUAUAGUUUCACAUACAAUUGUGAGGGAAGAAGGUACAUUUACUUAGCAGAAGCCAUCCAUUUUACCAAAUGCCAGUUCCCUGGAUUUACUUCUUUUAAACUAGUUUUAGUUGAGUUUUCAUCUUAUUGGUAACAUUUAAAAGAAUGUUCAAUUUGUUUCUGCUCCAAUUUCCUGCUGCUGUUUAGGAGGAGGUGGACAGAAAAGAAUUGAUCAUAUUCAAGAAUAUAAUAGCAAUGAACAUAUAUUUAUCAGUGCAGAACUUAAAGACUAAGACUUUAGGUCUGGUCUUCUUCCUUUCUCUGCUUUUCAGUCUCUGGCAACAAUGGCAGGGAGUUAGGGCAGACAAAUUGAACAUUCCUUUUCCUGCUAUUCAGAUUAAAACUGAUCAACUAAAGAGUUAAAGAAGUGAAUUCAGUGACUUGACUUUCAGUUAAAAUUAUUUUUGGUAAAUUUAUCUUUUGUCAGUGACCCAGAACUCACCUAAGCAGCCACAUCAGCUGAAUUAAUCCUAACAAUGAAUUGGCAGAUGCUUCAGUUACAUUGCCUUCAUAUCCUCAAAAUUGGGAAAAUUCAUAAUGACACAUCACAAAAUGGACUAUCAAGCCUAACACAUAAAGUGUACAUCUGUUUUGAACUAAAAGAUUGACUAAGAAAAGCAAUUAAGUGAUCUUUUCUCUAGAAGUUUGUUUAUGCUGAAUUCUCUUUUUUUUUUUUGAGGUGGAGUCUCACUCUGUUGUCCAGGCUGGAGUGCAGUGGUGUGAUCUUGGCUCAGUGCAACCUCCACCUCCCGGGUUCAAGUGAUUCUCCUGCCUCAGCCUCCUGAGUAGCUGGGACUACAGAUGCGGGCCAUCAUGCCAGGCUAAUUUUUUUGUACUUAUAGUAGAGACAGGGUUUCACCAUGUUAGUCAGGAUGGUCUCCAUCUCCUGAUCUCAUGAUCCACCCACCUUGGCCUCCCAAAGUGCUGGGAUUACAGGUGUGAGCCAUGGUACCCUGCUGUUUAUGCUGCCUUCUACACCUCUAGCUCCACACUGUCACCACAGCUUAAGCACAUGACUCUAAGAAAACAUAGGAAACAUAUUUACUUUUCAUUUCAGUAUAUCUUAUCUAAUAGAAUCUUAAAGAUUCUUCCUUGUUUCACAUGAAAUAGCACCUCUUUAGGUUUCUUCAGACUCAUACCUCAUUCUUUUCCAUCCCACCCCUAUUUAGUUAUUCAUCCAUUUUCUGUCACUUUUUCCUUUGAAACAUGUCUCAGAUUUAGUCUUCAUUCUUGUUGCAGCCACCUCAUUUCAAAGUCUUCAUUACUCAUUGCCUUCUAACUUGUUUUUCUGAUUACAUUCUUCUUUCUAGUAGUAGGUUAAAUUUACAGUGCUUUCAUCACAUGUCUCUGAGUUAAUCCCAGGAACUCUACAAAAUUCACUAGCUAAUCUCUGUCUUAACAUAGGAUGUAGUAUCAGAAGAAUCAGCUAUGAUCCACUAGUGCUUUUCUUGCUCACUUGACAGCUGCCUGCUAUUUGAACAAAAGGCAUCUUUAUUUUCAUUCUUUUUUAGAUGAUUCUCAGAUGUGAUCCUUUGCACAUAUAUAUGGAUCACAUCUGAGAGUCAUCUAUAUAUAUGUAUAUACAUACACACAUAUAUAGUGCAAAUACCUGCCUGUUAUUACCUUUUGAUGUGACAUACAAGAACACUGUUGCCUGUUUCAGACAUUCAACAAGAAUUAUAGUUUAUCUAGUCCCAUAAUCUCAUUUUAUCAAGAAGCCUAAGUUUUUUCAGGCUGUGGUUCUCUCUUUCUACCACCAGAAAGUAAAUUUCUUGAAGGUAGGCACUAUAGAAUUUUCAUUCUCCCACAAUUUUUGGCAGUUUUUAUGUAUUUUUGAAAUUUUUAUUGAAUAAAUAAAUUAGUUGAGCAAACAUUUAUUGCAUUUAUUGAUGGCUUACUCCAUUCUAGCCACUGUGAUGAUGUAUGUAGCACUGAAAAGGGGCAGAUACGGUUCCUUAGUGUGAUCGUAGUUCAUUACAGCCUCAAACUCCUGGGCUCAAGUGAUCCUCCUGCCUCAGCCUCCUGAGGAACUAGGAAUACAAGUGUAUGCCACCAUGCCCAGCUAAUUAAAUUUUUUUAUUUUUUUGGUAGAUCUGGGGUCUCAACAUGUUGCCCAGGCUGGUCUGGAACUCCUAACCUCAAGCAAUCCUCCUGCUAUGACCUUCCAAAACUAGUGGCAUGAGUGAGUUUAGCCCAGCUCCUGUCUUGAGUUAAUGAUCUAGUGGGAAAGGCAGGUAUUAAACAAAUACAUGGACAGUUAUGCUGGUCUAAAAUGGACAUCAUCAAUUCCUUCUCUUUGUGUAUAUGCAUGCUAUUUUUCAUGUGUAGAAAUAGAAACUAAUUCCCUUUUCCUUGAAUCUGCUGGCCAAUAGAAUAUGGCAGAAAUAGCAUAUUGGAACUUUUUUUUUUGAGACUUUUUUUUUAAGACAGUGUUGCCCAGGCUGGAGUGCAAUGGCAUGAUCUCGGCUCACUGCAACCUCCAUGUCCUGGGUUCACAUGGUUCUCCUGCUUCAGCCUCCUACGUAGUUGAGAUUACAGGCAUGCACCACCACACCAGGCUAAUUUUUUUUGCAUUUUUAGUAGAGAUGAGGUUUCACUAUUUUAGCCAGACUGGUCUCGAACUCCUGACCUCAUGAUCCAUCUGCCUUGGCCUCCCAAAGUGCUGAAAUUAUAGGCGAGAGCCACCACACCUAGCCAGAUUUUGGAAAUCUUGAAGUUAGGCCUUAAAGCUCUAGAGCUUGUGUCUGGGUGUCUGGGAAUAUUUUUCUUGAGAUAAUCCCUCUUAAAAUCCAGUCACUCUGCUGCAAGAAGCUCAAGCCACAUGUAGAGGCUUUGUGUAGGUGACUCCAGUCAAUAGCCCCAACUGAACGUCAAUGGCCAGAAUCAACUGGUCCUGUGAGUGAGCCAUUGUGAACAUCAAGUCCAGUCCAGACUUUAGAUGACUUCAUCCCCGCUACUAUCUUACUGCAACCAUGUGUGAGAAAAUUGAGAACUACAGAGCUGAGCUUUGUCAAUCCACAAAAUCUUAAGAGAGAAUGAAUUGUUUUAAGCCACCAAAUUUGGUCUAUUAUGCAGCAUUAUAAUACAUUUUGGUUAACCAGAAUGUAAAUUAUCAGACUAUCAGAUUAUGGUAAAUGAUAUCAUGGACAUGAACAGGGAUAAAAGGAAAACAUAAUUUAGAUGAUUCAGAUAUGGCAGCCUACAAUUGUUUAACAGUGUUUUGUCUUUCUGCUCAUGUUUGCAUUUGGUGAGAGCAGAUACUGUCCUAUUCUUAACUUUAUCCCCAGCACAUGGCAUAUAUGCUCAGUAUCUUCUGAAGUAAUAAUGAAGACCUUUUAUUAGUGUCUCAGAGAAGUCUGUAAUUCCAAAAAGGUUAAUAAUUACUUUAUUAACAGCAAAACUUUCCUCUUUCUACACUUGCUUAGGAAUACCACAUUUUACCCAAGGACAAAAUUCCAAGUUUUUUGGACUGAAUACUUGCAUCCAGGAUCCAUGUGAAUAGGGCAGUACUUUCCUGCCAGAGGUUAUAGGUGUUGCCUUUGAAUUUGGGGGGUUUAAUCAUAAUGGGCCACAUCACAUGUAUGGAGGUUACACAAGUGAUGAAAGGGACUGGGGCCAAGGAGCACACAGAUAAGUCUACUUAAUGAAAGAAAACUAAGGCUCAAAUGAAGUCUGUUAUUCUAUAGUUAGUCACUGUAAUCCUUAACCCUUUUUCCCAUGAUUCCUCGUAUGAAUUUUCUGCUUAAUUUAUUUCAUUUUAAUGUGUUUCAGGGAGUAAUUCUCCUCUAAGGUUACACCUAACUCUUUUCUUUCUUGCCCAUUUCUUCCCUAUACACCAUCCUUUUUCCUAUCUUUGUGUCUUUCUGAGUAUGUGUUUCUCCCAUUUUCUAUGGUACUUUUCCUUCUUUACACUUACAUAGAUCUAAUCUUUUGGGGGCUAUUUUGAGUCUAGUUCGCUGAAACUUUCCUUGAAGAUUCCAAGUUAAAUACGUCUCUCUUUCCUGAGCUUUUAUUUUACUUAUUUGUCCCCAGGACAUGACUUUCACUGUAUCUUGCCUUAUACAAUUACUAUUACAGUAAUAAUUAUUAGUAUAUAGUAUAUAGUAAUAUUAUAUGGUAUAUAUUAUAAUUAAUAAUAUUACUAUAAUAAUAAUUAUUUUCGAGACAGGGUCUGACUGCCACCAAGGUUAGAGUGCAGUGGUGUGUUCUCAGCUCACUGUAAUCUAUACCUUCUGGGGUCAGGCCAUCCUCCUAUCUCAGCCCCUCAAGUAGCUGGGACUACAGGUGUAUACCACCAUGCUCCGCUAAUUUUUGUAUUUUUUGUAGAGACAGAGUUUCACCAUAUUGCCCAGGCUGGUCUUGAACUUCUGAGCUCAAGCGAUCCUCCCGUCUUGGCCUCCCAAAGUGCUGAGUGCUGGGACUACAACCGUGAGCCACCGUGCCUGGCCCAUAUCAUAUUUAUCAUUUUCAACUAUUUUUAUGUAAUAUAGCUAAAAAUACUUGGAACCGUGAUCAUUUUAUUUUUACAAGAAUUUUACUACCUUUUUUUUUUUAAGAUGGAAUCUCACUUUGUCACCAGGCUGGAGUGCAGUGGCACAAUCUCAGCUCACUGCAACCUCCACCUCCUGGGUUCAAGCAAUUCUCCUGCCUCAGCCUCCUGAGUAGCUGGUACUACAGGUGCAUGCCACCAUGACCAGUUAAUUUUUGUAUUUUUAGUAGAGAUGGGGUUUCACCAUGUUGGCCAGGAUGGUUUCUAUCUCUUGACCUCGUGAUCUGCCCACCUUGGCCUCCCAAAGUGCUGGGAUUACAGGCAUGAGCCACCACGCCCAGCCAAUAUCACAUUUUAAAACAUAUCAUUAAUGUCUUUUUGUAAAAUAUACAUAUAUAUUUUUUUUCUAUUUUUACAUUUUUAAAAAAUUCACCUGGAUGCAGGUGGGCUGAGGCCACAAAGGGCAUCAGCCAUAUAUAUAUAUUUUUGAGAUGGAGUUUCACUCAUCACCUAGGCUGGGGUGCAGUGGUGGUAGUGGUAUCUCAACUCAGUGCAACCUCUACCUCCUGGGUUUAAGUGAUUCUCCUGCAUCAGCUUCUGGAGUAGCUGGGAUUACAGAUGCCCACCACCAUGCCCGGCUACUUUUUGUGUUUUUAGUAGAAACUGGGUUUCGCCAAGUUGGCCAGGUUGGUCUCAAACUCCUGACCUCAGGUGAUUUGCCUCCCAAAGUGCUGGAAUUACAGGUCUGAGCAAUGGCACCUGGCAAAAUACUAAUUUUUUUUUUUUUUUUUUAAGAUGGAGUCUUUCUCUGUCACCCAGGCUGGAGUGCAGUAGCACGAUCUUGGCUCACUGCAACCUCUGCCUCCUGGGUUCAAGCGAUUCUUCUGCCUCAGCCUCCGAGUAGCAGAGACUACAGGCACGUGCCACUGCACCUGGCUAAUUUUUUGUAUUUUUAGUACAGAUGGGGUUUCACCGUGUUAGCCAGGAUGGUCUCGAUUUCCUGACCUCGUGAUCCACCUGCCUCAGCCUCCCAAAGUGCUGGGAUUUACAGGCGUGAGCCACUGCACCUGGCUGAUUAUUAUGUUUAUAUAGUGAUAUAGUUAACUACACCCAAGAUCUGGAAUGUAAAUUUUACAUUAAAUACAAUAUUACUUGUUUAUAUCUGUACAGUCCUAUAUUUAUAAGUCUCAACAUCUAUUUUAUCCACAUCAAUAAGUAGAAUUUAGUACUUCUAUAUAAACUGUUCAUAUAUCACUUUUAUCUUAUUUUGAGACAAGGUCUCACUCUGUUGCCCAAGCUGAAGUGCAGCAGCACGAUCUUGGCUCACUGCAACCUGUGUCUCCUGGGUUCACACGCUGUCCUCCCACCUCAGCCUCCUGAGUAGCUGGGACUACAGGCAUGGACCAUCAUGCCUGGCUAAUUUUUAAUUUUUUUUUUUUUGAGACAGUCUCCCUCUGUCACCUAGGCUGGAGUACAGUGGCUCAAUCUCUGCUCACUGCAACCUCCACCUCCUGGGUUCAAGCAGUUCUCCCUGCCUCAGGCUCCUGAGUAACUGGAAUUACAGGCACCUGCCACCAUACCUGGCUAAUUUUUGUAUUUUUUGGUAGAGACGGGGUUUUACCAUGUUGGCCAGGCUAGUCUUUAACUCCUGACUUCAGAUGAAUAACCCCUCUCAGCCUCCCAAAGUGCUGGAAUUACAGGUGUGAGCCAUUGCACCCGGCCAAUUUUUAAAUUUUUAUAGAGACAGGGUCUCCCUGUGUUGCCCAGGCUGGUCUCAAACUUAUGAGCUUGAUAUCUUCCUGCCUCAGCCUCCCAAAGUGCUGGGAUUACAGGCAUGGGCCACCAUGCCUGGCCCUAUUUAUAAUUUAUUUUAUUUUAUUUUAUUUAUUUAUUUAUUUAUUUUUUUCACAAUAGGCAAAAUGGUUAUUUAUUAUCACAGAAUGGAGCUUUUCAUUUUCAGACAAGCCUAGGAGGUAUGAGACAAGUGUUUUUGUUGAGGUCUUUUGAAAAAUAAUUUGCAAAUUUUGUUAGUGAACGAUUUCUCUUCUUGUUUCUGGGUAAAUGUCAUAUGUAAAUCUAUCCUUGUAAUCACUUAAACUUAUUAUAACAUCAAUCAUUUGUCAUGGAUCAAUGAGGUACUCGGCAAUUCGGUAAAGUUCGUACCAAUUCCUUUGCUUUUAACCUCCAUAGUUAAUUGAAUCUUCUCCAAAACUCAGUGCUUGAGUACCAAAUAUAAUUUAUUUUUUGAAGUAUUUUAUUUUAUUUUUAACUUUUAGGUUCAGAGGUACAUGUGCAGGUUUGUUAUACAGAUAAAUUGCAUGUUGUGGGGGUUUGGUGUACAGAUUAUUUCAUCACCCAGGUAAUAAGCAUAGUACCCGAUAGGUAGUUUUUUAAUACUUACCCUGGUCCCUCUCUCCAUUCUCAAGGAGGCCCCGGUGUCUGUUGUUUUCUUCUUCCUGUCCAUAUGUACCUGAUGUUUAGCUCCUACUUAUAAGUGAGAACAUGCAAUAUUUGGUUUUCUGUUUCUGUAUUAGUUCACUUGGGAUAAUGGCCUUGAGUUCCAUCCAUGUUGCUGCAAAGGACAUGAUCUCAUUCUUUUUUAUGGCUGUAUAGUAUUCCAUGGUGUAUAUAUACCACAUUUUCUUUAUCCAGUCUACCACUGAUGGGCAUUUAGAUUGAUCCCAUGUCUUUGAUAUUGUGAAUAGUGUUGUGAUGAACAUGUAUGUACAUGGCUUUUUUUUUUUUUUUGAGGCGGAGUCUUGCUCUGUUGCCCAGGCUGGAAUGCAAUGGUGUGAUUUUGGCUUACUACAAUCUCUACCUCCCGGGUUCAAGCAAUUCUUGUGCCUCAGCCUCAGCUGGGAUUUCAGGUAUUCACCCCCAUGCCUGGCUAAUUUUUUUUAUAUUUUCAGUAGAGACGGGGUUUCACCAUAUUGGUCAGGCUAGUCUUGAACUCCUGGCCUCAAGUGAUCUGCCUGCCUCUGCCUCCCCAAGUGCUGAGAUUACAGGCAUGAGCCACUGCACCCGACCUACAUGUCUUUAUGGUAGAAUAUUUUAUAUUUUUGGGCAUAUAUACUUAAUAAUGGGAUUGCUGGGUCAAAUGGUAAUUCUGGUUUUUGUUUUUGUUUUUUUGAGAUGGAGUUUCGCUGUUGUCACCCAGACUGGAGUGCAAUGGCAUGAUCUCAGCUCAACCACAACCUCCACCUCCUGGGUUCAAGCAAUUCUCCUGCCUCAGCCUCCCGAGUAGCUGGGACUACAGGCGCGCAGCACCAUGCCCAGCUAAUUUUUGUAUUUUUAGUAGAGACGGGGUUUCACCUUGUUGACCAGGAUGGUCUCAAUCUCUUGACCUUGUGAUCCACUCGCCUUGGCCUCCCAGUGCUGGGAUUAUAUGCAUGAGCCACCACGCCCAGCCAGUAGUUCUGUUUUAAGUUCUUUCAGAAAUAACCAAACUGCUUUUCACAAUGGGUGAACUAACUUAGAUUCCCGCUAGCAGUGUGUAAGUGUUUCCUUUUUGCCACAACCUUGCCAGCAUCUGAUAUUUUUGGACUUGUGGCUGGGUCCUCCUGGGUGUGGGUGCUCACAUCUGUAAUCCCAGCACUUUGAGCUGAGACAGGAGGAUCUCUAGAGCCUAGGAGUUUUAGAGCAGCCUGGGCAACAAAGUCAGACCCUGUCUCUACAAAAAAUUAAAAAAUUAGCUGGGUGUGGUUGCACAUGCCUGUGGUCCCAGCUGCUCAAGAGGCUGAGGCAGGAGGAAUGCUUAAGCCUAGAAGGUGGAGACUACACAGUGAGCUAUGUUUGUCCCACUGCACUAAAGCUUGGAAGACAGAGUGAGACCCUGUUAAAAAAAACAACACACGGCCGGGCGCAGUGGCUCAAGCCUGUAAUCCCAGCACUUUGGGAGGCCGAGGCAGGUGGAUCACGAGGUCAAGAGAUUGAGACCAUCCUGGUCAACAUGGUGAAACCCCGUCUCUACUCAAAAUACAAAAAAAAAUUAGCUGGGCAUGGUGGCGUGCACCUGUAAUCCCAGCUACUCAGGAGGCUGAGGCAGGAGAAUUGCCUGAACCCAGGAGGCGGAGGUUGCGGUGAGCCGAGAUCGCGCCAUUGCACUCCAGCCUGGGUAACAAGAGCAAAACUCCGUCUCAAAAAAAAAAAAAAAAAAAACCACACACACACAGGUAUUCUAACUGGUGUGAGAUGAUAUCUCAUUGGGGUUUUGACUAUCAUUUUUCUAAUGAUUAGUGAUGUUGAAUAUUUUUUCAUUUGUUUGUUGGGUCCAUGUACAUCUUUUGAAAGUGUCUGUUCAUUCCUUUGUCCACUUUUAAAUAGUGUUUGUUUUUUGCUCGUGAACUUGUUUACAUUCCUUAUAGAUUCUGGAUAUUAGACCUUUGUCAGAUACAUACUUUGCAAAUAUUUCUCCCAUUCUGUAGUUUGUUAAUUUACUCUGUUGACAGUUUCUUUUGCUGUGAAGAAGCUCUUUAGUUUUAUUAGAUCCCUUUUGUCAAUUUUUUUUUUUUGUAAUUGUCUUUGGAGUCUGAUUCUGUUACCCAGGCUGGAGUGCAGUGGCAUAGUCAUGCUCACUGCAGCCUAGAACUAAGUGAGCCUCUUCCUUUAGCCUCUGGAGUGGCUAAGACUACAGGAGCAUGCCACCAUGCCUGGCUAAUUUAAAAAUUUUUUUAUUAGCCAUGUGUGGUGGCUCAUGCCUGUAAUACCAGCACUUUGGGAGGCCAAGGCAGGUGGAUCACAAAAUUAACUGGUCAUGGUGGUGUGUGCCUUAGUCCCAGCUACUGGGGAGACUGAGGCAGGAGAAUUGCUUGAAGCCAGGAGGAGGAGGUUCCAGUGGGCUGAGAUUGCGCCACUGCAUUCCAGCCUGGCACCUGUCAAAAGAGUGAGACUCUGUCUCAAAAAUAAAUAAAUAAAUAAAUAACGUAAGUUGCAAAGUUUACUCCUAAAAAAACAAUUUAGCAUAGUUCAGUGUUUAUUUUUUUCAAGUUUCCAACAAGUCAUUGUUUACUUUUAAAAAGUAAAAUUUAUGUACAAUACAAUGCAUAAAUCUUAAUUGUGCCAUGUGAUGAAUUUUGACAGGUGCAUAUAUCUGCUAAUAUCCCUAUCAGAAUUAGAACAUUACUGCUAUUCCAGAAGGUUUCCUCAUGCCCUUUCACAGUCAGUCUUCACCCAUGCUGCGGAGAGGAGCCAUAACUUUUUUUCACCAUAGAUUAAUUUUGCCUGUUCUAGAAUCCCGUGUAAACAGAAUCAUGUAGUAUAGGUACUUUUGUGGAAAACUUCUUUAGGCAGCAUGUUUUUUGAGAUUUAUUCAUGUCAUUGCAUGUAUUCAGUUACUUCGUUUUAUUGCUGAGCGGUAUUAGAUUGUGUGAAUGUACCACAGUUUUUCAUUUAUUCUCCUGUUGAUGGACAUCUGAGCUGUUACCUGUAUUUUUUGGCUAUUAUGAAUGAAGCUGCUAUGAACAUUCUAGUGCAAGUCUUUUUGUGGACGUGGCUUGUAUUUCUCUUAGGUCAAUAUCUGGGAAUAGAAAUGCUGGAUCAUUAGGUAGGUAGAUAUACAUGCAGUUUUUAAGAAACUACCUGAUGUUUUCCAAACUUGUAAUAUCAUUUUAUAUGGCCAUCAAAAAUGUAUGAGAAUUUCAGUUGCUCUGUCUCUUCACCAAUAUUUGGUGUUAUCAAUCUUUUAAAUUUUGGCUAUUCUCUUGGCAAGUGGCACUUGUAUAUUGAGGAUAAAUGUAAAAAUAAAUCAAAUUUGACUAGUCUCAUGGGCAUGUAAUAGUAUCUUGUACUUUUUUUUUUUUUUUUUUGAGACAGAGUUUCACUCUUGUUGCCCAGGCUGAAGUGUAAUGGCGUGGUCUCGGCUCACCACAACCUCUGCCUCCUGGGUUCAACAGAUUCUCCUGCCUCAACUUCCCAAGUAUCUGGGAUUACAGGCAUGCAUCACCAUGCCUGGCUAAUUUUGUAUUUUUAGUGGAGACAGAGUUUCUCCGUUUUGGUCAGUCUGGUCUUAAACUCUUGACCUCAGGUGAUUUGCCCAGUAUUUUGUAAUUUUAAUCCGCGUUUCCCUGAUGACUUAUUAUUUUGAGGAUCUUUUUUUUUUUUUUUUGAGACGGAGUCUCGCUCUUGGCUUACUACAACCUCUGCCUCCCAGGUUCAAUUGAUACUUGUGUCUCAGCCUCCCAAGUAGCUGGGGUUACAGGUGCACGCCACCAUGCUUGGCUAAUUUUUGUAUUUUCAGUAGAGAUGGAGUUUCACUGUGUUGUCCAGGCUGGUCUCAAACUCCUGACCUCAAGUGAUCUGCCUGCCUCAGCUCUCAAAGUGUUGGGAUUACAGGCAUGAUGAGCCACUGUGUCCGGCCGUGUGUUUUCUUAUACAAGCUUUAUGUUUAGGUCUCUGAACCAAUGUAAAUUAAUUUUUUCACAUAGUGUGAGAUAAAGAUGAGAGUUUAUUUUUUCCCAUCUGGAUAUCCAAUUAUUCUGGCACUAUUUGUUGAAAAGAUGUACAAUUUCCCAUUGAAUUGCUUUGGUUCAUUUGCUGAAAAUCGGUCGAUAGUGCAAGUGUGGGUCUUUUCAGUGUUCUCUAAUUUGUUCAUAUACUUGACUAUUUAUGACAGAAUGAUGCUGUCUUAAUGACUGUAAUUUCACAUUGUCUUUUUUUUUUUUUUUUUUUUUUUUGAGAAGGGGUCUUGUUCUGUCACCCAGGCUGGAGUGCAGUGGCA